UACGGAGGGUGCAAGCGUUGUCCGGAUUCAUUGGGUUUAAAGGGUGCGCAGGCGGGCGAUUAAGUCAGGGGUGAAAGACGGUUGCUCAACAAUCGCAGUGCCUUUGAUACUGGUUGUCUUGGGUGACCUUGAGGUAGGCGGAAUGGGUGGUGUAGCGGUGAGAUGCAUAGAUACCACCCAGAACUCCGAUUGCGAAGGCAGCCUACUGGAGGUUCACCGACGCUCAGGCACGAAAGCGUGGGGAGUCAAACAGG
rnacentral:rRNA from 1 species